rnacentral:rRNA from 1 species
GACGAACGCUGGCGGCGUGCUUAACACAUGCAAGUCGAGCGGAGCGGCGAACGGGUGAGUAACGCGUGAGUAACUGCCCCCCUCGCUGGGAUAACAGUUGGAAACGGCUGCUAAUACCGGACAGUGGGGGAUGACUCGCGUCCUAUCAGCUUGUUGGUGGGGUAGUGGCCUACCAAGGCGAGGACGGGUAGCCGGCCUGAGAGGGCGACCGGCCACAUUGGGCUGGGAUACGGGCCGGACGCCUUCGGGAGGCAGCAGUGGGGAAUAUUGCACGAUGGGGCAAACCCUGGUGGAGCACCGCCGGGUGCGAGAUGACGGCCUGCGGGGUGUAAGCCGCUUUCGGCCAUGACGCGGUAGUGGCAGAAGAAGCACGGGCUAACUACGUGCCAGCGGCCGCGUAAUAC